rnacentral:lncRNA from 1 species
GAGUAGAGAGAAGUGACCUCAAAUCGAACACAUCUUGCACUGUUGUUUGUCAACAGUAAAUUACAUCUGAUUUUAAACAAGAGAAGGAAAAACUGCUGGCGACCUGUGAUUGUGCUUCAUACAAGGAUCAAUACAAAGGAGAAUAGCCUUUUUAGCUUUUUCCAAGUUCUCUGACUUCUUGGAGCAAAUUGGCAGUACUUUUUGGUCAUUCUCAAUUAAUAGCACUCUCUCCCUAAGCCAGAGAGUCUAUAGUCCUGAGGA